rnacentral:lncRNA from 1 species
CGGAAAAGCCAAAAACGCCGACUGCCACCAUUUUCUCUCUCCACCGUGAAUCUCCGAUUCCGGCCACCACUGUCGACACCGCUGCCGCCAAAACAAAGCCGAGGCCGAGAGGAGUCGAUCGGCACCAAAAUCAGCGACCACCGAUGCCGAAAACGCCCGCACGGCGGCAAAGAAGCUUCGGCCAUCUUCCUCCUCGCGCGAGAGCUGCUGCCGUCGCCCGCUGGUGCCGCUGCCGCUGCCGCCGCUGACGCCUGCAGCUUCGCCG